rnacentral:lncRNA from 1 species
AAUAUCAAUAUCAUCGUCUUGUUCUCAACAAAAUUGUUCGAUGUCAAAAAUGUCAAUCUCCAUUUACUGCACAUGAUGUAUACAUCCACAGAAAUGCUGGGUUUCAGAACAAUUUCGAAGUCAAUUCUAGGAAUAAACCAAAAGAACCAAUGGUGCCGGUGCGUAGACCAAAAGGUGCAGACAAAUCUGAGAAUAAACCAAUUGAAAAGGUUCAAGUUAAUAAUCAUGCUACAAAAGAAAAUACAGUAAAGUUUGAGAAUGUAAAUUUGAAAAAUUUAAACAAAAAAGAGAAAUCAUCAGUGUAUUCAGAUAAUCAAAAAUGAAAGAGAAAAAAAGCAGAUUUGACUGAUACUGAGAGCAGUAGUGAUGAAGAAGUGAUCAUGAAAGAAGGUAAUUGUAAUGGACAUGGUGAUACUGUCAACCAUGAAUUUCGGAGAUCUUCAAGGCAAAAGCAAGAUAUUACUUAUAAUGAAAAUCAUACAGAUGAUGAGGGAGAAACGAUGGACCGAUUUGUCGAAAAAGUCGGACAGAAUAUAAAUAAUGUAAGUGCUCUUGUUCUUAUUUUUAUGAUGAGCUUGUACUUACUUAUUUUUCCUUUCGCAGCUUGCUUAUCUGUUUCAAGGUCUGUCUCGUCUUCGCGAUUAUCAAUCCCUAGAAGACGAGUUGAAGAAAGUCAAGCGCAGGUGUAAAAAUUUAAAGAACAAAGUUCAGCAGAGAAUUUCGGACGUCUCUACUCUUUCUGCCACCAACAAGAAAUUGGCUGGGGAUUGGGCCACUCAGCGCAGACUUGUGGAUAGUGAGAGACAAGAACUUUCCAAGGUUCGUGGGGAGUUGGUGGCCAUGGAGAUUGAGCGAGAUGCCGAGCGAGCCAAGGUUGUUUUGAAGGAAGCUAUAAUCGACGGAGUCACUCGGCAAUCUGAAGCAACUGAAGAGACCCUACGUUUUAUUAUGGAGCAAAAUAAUGUUUUUACUGAACGACUGAACAAAUGGCAUAUUGAAAGGGAAGCUCUACUAAAGGAAAAUCGUGAGACUUCCCAGUUGCUGAGUGACCGUGAUGUUGAGAUCAAGCAAUUGGUAGAUGCCUUGGCCGGGCAGACUGAAGAAAAUCAGAAGAUGAUUGAUCAUAUGGGCCAGAUCCGAACUGAGUUUCUUGCUAACGUGCGAGAUUAUAAUGAUUUGGUGGAUUUGGGUCCUCACGUAUGUCAUGGUUUUGAGGCCGAAGAUGUCCAUCGCUGGGCUCGCAAGUAUCCGAAAGAAGCUACAGAGAUCCGAUAUCGGGCGCUUGCUGAGAAUGAUGAAGAGGAAGAAGAGAAAGUUUUGGGUGAAGAUCAAGAUGAUAAUGGUGCAGCGGAUAAAGGCUCAUCCCUUCCUACUAGUGAUAAACCUUCUUUUCCUCCUACUUUAUAAUUUGUACUUUUUUAUAUUCCUUUGUACUUUUUAUUAAAUAUUAAUAUAUGGAAUAUUUUUGUUAUGAC